rnacentral:rRNA from 1 species
GAUGAACGCUGGCGGCGUGCCUAAUACAUGCAAGUCGAGCGAACGGACGAGAAGCUUGCUUUUCUGAUGUUAGCGGCGGACGGGGUGAGUAACACGUGGAUAACCUACCUAUAAGACUGGGAUAACUUCGGGAAACCGGAGCUAAUACCGGAUAAUAUUUUGAACCGCAUGGUUCAAAAGUGAAAGACGGUCUUGCUGUCACUUAUAGAUGGAUCCGCGCUGCAUUAGCUAGUUGGUAAGGUAACGGCUUACCAAGGCAACGAUGCAUAGCCGACCUGAGAGGGUGAUCGGCCACACUGGAACUGAGACACGGUCCAGACUCCUACGGGAGGCAGCAGUAGGGAAUCUUCCGCAAUGGGCGAAAGCCUGACGGAGCAACGCCGCGUGAGUGAUGAAGGUCUUCGGAUCGUAAAACUCUGUUAUUAGGGAAGAACAUAUGUGUAAGUAACUGUGCACAUCUUGACGGUACCUAAUCAGAAAGCCACGGCUAACUACGUG